GAGCUUGUGUUUAAGCUUGUUUGCGGAUGUGUGAGAGAGAGCUGGUGUGAGUGUGUGUUUUGUGAGCGAGUCUCUUUGCGUCUUGCUACAGGAGAUGGUGUGAUGGCUGUUCAACAGUCUGAUGGAGAUAAAGGCACCACUCCGUAUGAUAGAGGCCUUCGCCAGACAAGCACAAGUCGCUAACUUAUUUCUCUCUCUCUCUCUCGCUCUCUCGCUAUCUCCCCCCCCCCCCCCUUUAGGAGUUGUGCUCUCUGAUGUUCUCUCUGGACUGGGUCAGAACUAAAGCUCAGAUUAUGGGACCGGCUCAUCUCAUCAAUGACUAUGUUGAGUACGGAGCCAUCCUGGACAAAGAGGUCAGGAUUUGAUCAACANNNNNNNNNNUCUGUCUGUCUGUCUGUCUGUCUGUCUGUCUGUCUGUCUGUCUGUCUGUAGGUCUGUCUAUCUUACUGUCUGUCUGUAGGUCUGUCUAUCUUACUGUUUGUCUGUCUGUCUGUCUGUCUUACUAUCUGUCUGUAGGUCUGUCUAUCUUACUGUUUGUCUGUCUGCCACACUAUUUUCAUUCUUUUUUCUCCAUUCUUUUUUGUUGUAAUCAUGUUUCUUACAUUAUGAGGACUGCGAGCAGCUAACAAACCAGUGUGUGUGGACAGGAGGCGGAGGCAGAAGAUGGAGGCUCUAAAGGGUCAGAAGCAGGAGUACAUGACAGGGGUGUGGAACGUCAACACGGUGCUGCUGAGAGGGCUGUGGAAGGAACCCGAUCUGGAGGAAGAGGAAGAGAGCCCAGAUGAAGAAAUAACCAGCCCUAAACAGGCCACAGCAGCAUGGGAGCGCACUGCCCGUCUCAUCCAGCAGAGGGAGUCUCUGCUGGCUCGUCUGGAGAUGUUUGACAAGGACGCUUCUGACCCCAACCGCUUCUUCCUGCAAGGCUACCAGGGCACCUCUCUAGCCAGGUUGGAUGAGUCCAAGCACCGGAGCAUACUCAACUCCCAGAUCUGUUCUCUGGAGAUGGUGUUGUCUAAGAUUCUCCACCACAUUACAGACAGCUUCCACGACACUGUCACCUACAAGGGGAGGCCGUACAGGGAGAAGAUGCGAAAUACUGUCACCACUGAUAAAUCCACUAUAAUUGAGAAUUUCAAUAAGCAUUUUUCUACGGCUGGCCAUGCUUUCCACCUGGCUACCCCUACCCCGGUCAACAGCACUGCACCCCCCACAGCAACUCGCCCAAGCCUUCCCCAUUUCUCCUUCUCCCAAAUCCAGUCAGCUGAUGUUCUGAAAGAGCUGCAAAAUCUGGACCCCUUCAAAUCAGCCGGGCUAGACAAUCUGGACCCUUUCUUUCUAAAAUUAUCUGCCGAAAUUGUUGCCACCCCUAUUACUAGCCUGUUCAACCUCUCUUUUGUGUCGUCUGAGAUUCCCAAAGAUUGGAAAGCAGCUGCGGUCAUCCCCCUCUUCAAAGUGGGGGACACUCUUGACCCAAACUGCUACAGACCUAUAUCUAUCCUACCAUGCCUUUCUAAGGUCUUCGAAAGCCAAGUCAACAAACAGAUUACCGACCAUUUCGAAUCUCACCAUACCCUCUCUGCUAUGCAAUCUGGUUUCAGAGCUGGUCAUGGGUGCACCUGA
rnacentral:lncRNA from 13 species